AUUGAACGCUGGCGGCAGGCCUAACACAUGCAAGUCGAACGGUAACAGGAAGCAGCUUGCUGCUUCGCUGACGAGUGGCGGACGGGUGAGUAAUGUCUGGGAAGCUGCCUGAUGGAGGGGGAUAACUACUGGAAACGGUAGCUAAUACCGCAUAACGUCGCAAGACCAAAGAGGGGGACCUUAGGGCCUCUUGCCAUCGGAUGUGCCCAGAUGGGAUUAGCUAGUAGGUGGGGUAACGGCUCACCUAGGCGACGAUCCCUAGCUGGUCUGAGAGGAUGACCAGCCACACUGGAACUGAGACACGGUCCAGACUCCUACGGGAGGCAGCAGUGGGGAAUAUUGCACAAUGGGCGCAAGCCUGAUGCAGCCAUGCCGCGUGUAUGAAGAAGGCCUUCGGGUUGUAAAGUACUUUCAGCGGGGAGGAAGGGAGUAAAGUUAAUACCUUUGCUCAUUGACGUUACCCGCAGAAGAAGCACCGGCUAACUCCGUG
rnacentral:rRNA from 1 species